rnacentral:rRNA from 1 species
UACGUAGGGGCCGAGCGUUGUCCGGAGUUAUUGGGCGUAAAGCGCGCGCAGGCGGCCUCGCGCGCCCGACGUGAAAGCCCCCGGCUUAACCGGGGGAGGGUCGUUGGGGACGGCGGGGCUUGAGGGCGGGAGAGGUCGGUGGAAUUCCCGGUGUAGUGGUGAAAUGCGUAGAGAUCGGGAGGAACACCUGUGGCGAAGGCGGCCGACUGGGCCGACCCUGACGCUGAGGCGCGAAGGCGUGGGGAGCAAACAGG